CAGUAGCCACGGUAAUACCAGCACCUCGAGUGGUCAGGAGGUUUAUUGGGCCUAAAGCAUCCGUAGCCGGUUGCAUAAGUUUUCGGUUAAAUCUAUGCGCUUAACGUAUAGGCCGCCGAAAAUACUGUGCAGCUAGGGAGUGGGAGAGGUACACGGUACUCGAUAGGAAGGGGUAAAAUCCUUUGAUCUAUUGAUGACCACCUGUGGCGAAGGCGGUGUACCAGAACACGUUCGACGGUGAGGGAUGAAAGCUGGGGGAGCAAACCGGAUUAGAUACCCCCGUAGUCCCUGUCUCUUAUAC
rnacentral:rRNA from 1 species